ACUUCUAAUUUUCACGGCAAAGGAAACGGACGCGUUUUCUGUGUCGUCCGCGAGAGCAAAAAACUCUGGCUUUAGUUAGUUAUUUUAUUGGAAAAAUAUUUAAGCAAGAGCCAACAAACGCAUAGAUACAGAAAAGUAUUGAUUUUCGUCCAAGAUGGCGGACGACGAGCAAUUCAGCUUGUGCUGGAACAACUUCAACACGAAUUUGUCGGCCGGCUUCCACGAGUCGCUAUGCCGUGGCGACCUGGUGGACGUCUCGCUUGCCGCCGAGGGCCAAAUAGUGAAGGCCCACCGAUUGGUGUUAUCCGUCUGCUCGCCCUUCUUCCGCAAGAUGUUCACUCAGAUGCCGUCGAACACCCAUGCUAUCGUAUUCCUGAACAACGUCAGCCACUCGGCGCUGAAGGACCUCAUCCAGUUCAUGUACUGCGGCGAGGUCAACGUGAAGCAGGACGCCCUGCCCGCGUUUAUUAGUACCGCGGAAUCGCUGCAAAUCAAGGGGCUAACGGAUAACGAUCCUGCGCCUCAGCCGCCGCAGGAAUCCAGCCCGCCGCCAGCAGCACCUCAUGUACAACAACAGCAAAUACCGGCUCAGCGAGUGCAGCGCCAGCAGCCGCGCGCCUCCGCCCGCUAUAAGAUCGAGACCGUGGACGACGGCCUGGGCGACGAGAAACAGGGCACCACCCAGAUCGUCAUCCAGACCACGGCCGCACCCCAAGCCACCAUUGUACAACAGCCGCAGCAGGCGGCGCAGCAGAUCCAAUCGCAGCAGCUGCAGACGGGAACCACGACGACGGCGACGCUGGUGUCGACAAACAAACGCUCUGCCCAGCGCUCCUCCCUGACCCCCGCCUCCUCGAGCGCCGGCGUGAAGCGCUCCAAGACAAGCACCUCCGCUAAUGUUAUGGACCCUCUCGACUCGACCACUGAAACUGGAACCACGACAACCGCCCAACUUGUGCCGCAACAGAUCACCGUGCAGACCUCCGUGGUCUCUGCGGCAGAAGCAAAACUCCACCAGCAAUCGCCGCAGCAGGUUCGUCAGGAGGAAGCCGAGUACAUUGAUCUCCCCAUGGAAUUGCCCACGAAAUCUGAACCUGACUACUCUGAGGACCAUGGCGACGCUGCCGGCGAUGCCGAGGGAACCUAUGUGGAGGACGAUACUUACGGAGACAUGCGCUACGACGACAGCUACUUCACGGAAAACGAGGAUGCUGGCAACCAAACUGCGGCAAAUACGAGCGGUGGCGGAGUGACUGCGACCACUUCCAAGGCGGUGGUCAAGCAACAGUCCCAGAACUACAGUGAAUCAUCGUUUGUCGACACCAGCGGGGAUCAGGGCAACACAGAGGCUCAAGAUGACGAGCUGGUUUUCAUAGAGAGCCCCUGGUCGACGCCGUGCCUGGUGUUGAAUGGCUACAUGUACAACUGCCACAGUCGCAAGAGCAACAAACAGUAUUGGCGCUGCCACAACUACUCCAAAAAGGUGCAUGAAAUGCGCUGUCGAUCUCGCUGCGUCCUGGAGAACGGUCGCCUCAAGAGUGUGACGGGCGGACUCCAUAACCACCAGCCGCACACGGAGAAGAUAGACAAGAUCAUUCAGCGGAACAAAAUGGCAGCGAUCGGCACGGGAAGAAAGCUCUCCAGGAUGCACAGCUUCACACAGCUGCAGCUUCAGGAGCAGAAGCAGGAUUUCAUCGAUGAACACCAGUUGACUAGCGAUGCAGCCACAUUGCAGCUGACAGAUCAAGAACUGAUGCACGCCUCCAUGAUGCUCAUGCACGAAUAGAUUGGCUAUCCAACUGGUCUUGGCAGUGCAAUGUAGUUACUAAGUAACAGCUAUUAAAAGUACAUAUCCAGGAGGUGGACUAUGUACACUUAUUUUCGGUAUUUUCAUCCUAGUUACCCGAAUUUGCAUUUUGAAGUGUCGAAAGCGAAUGAAUCCGAGUUUAAUUUGAAGUAUAAUGAAUAAGAUUGUGAAUAUAGCUUUGCUCCAUUCCCUUGACGGCUAUGUGAUCAUGUGAAAUAAAGAUCUGAACUCAUGAAAGUAA
rnacentral:misc_RNA from 1 species